rnacentral:rRNA from 1 species
UACAGAGGGGGCAAGCGUUAUUCGGAAUUAUUGGGCGUAAAGAGCUCGUAGGCGGUCUGUCGCGUCUGCUGUGAAAACUCAGGGCUUAACCCUGAGCUUGCAGUGGGUACGGGCAGACUAGAGUGCGGUAGGGGAGACUGGAAUUCCUGGUGUAGCGGUGAAAUGCGCAGAUAUCAGGAGGAACACCGGUGGCGAAGGCGGGUCUCUGGGCCGUAACUGACGCUGAGGAGCGAAAGCAUGGGGAGCGAACAGG